rnacentral:rRNA from 1 species
AGUGAACGCUGGCGGUAGGCCUAACACAUGCAAGUCGAACGGCAGCACAGUAAGAGCUUGCGCUUACGGGUGGCGAGUGGCGGCCGGGGGAGGCAUACAUCGGAAUCUACUUUUUCGUGGGGGAUAACGGAGUGAAACUUACGCUAAUACCGCAUACGACCUACGGGUGAAAGCAUGGGAUCUUCGGACCUUGCGCGAUUGAAUGAGCCGAUGUCGGAUUAGCUAGUUGGCGGGGUAAAGGCCCACCAAGGCGACGAUCCGUAGCCGGUCUGAGUGGAUGAUCAGCCACACUGGAACUGAGACACGGUCCAGACUCCUACGGGAGGCAGCAGUGGGGAAGAUUGGACAAUAGGCGCAAGCCUGAUCCAGCCGUACCGCGUGGGUGAAGAAGGCCUUCGGGUUGUAAAGCCCUUUUGUUGGGAAAGAAAAGCAGCAGGUUAAUACCCCGCUGUUCUGACGGUACCCAAAGAAUAAGCACCGGCUAACUUCGUG